CGAAAGUGCUGCUAAUACCCGAUGAAGUCGCCGGGUCGCAUGACCUGGCGACCAAAGGCGGGGACCCGCAAGGGCCUGCCGGUUUGGGAGCGACCCAUGUCCUAUCAGCUAGUUGGUGAGGUGACGGCUCACCAAGGUAACGACGGGUAGCCGGACUGAGAGGUCGACCGGCCACAUCGGGACUGAGACACUGCCCGGACACCUACGGGUGGCCGCAGUAACGAAUAUUGGGCAAUGGGCGCAAGCCUGACCCAGCGACGCCGCGUGCAGGAGGAAGUCCUUCGGGAUGUAAACUGCUGCCAGGGGCUAGCAAGCAAAGGGCGUUAACAGCGUCCGGCGUUGAGCCGCCCCAAAGGAAGCCUCGACUAACUCUGUGCCAGCAGUCGCGGUAAGACAGAGGAGGCAAGCGUUGUUCGGAAUCACUGGGCUUAAAGCGCGUGUAGGCGGCGGAGCAAGUGUCGUGUGAAAUCCUACGGCUCAACCGUGGAACUGCACGGCAAACUACUUCGCUUGAGGUCGGUAGAGGUGCCUGGAACUCUCGGUGGAGCGGUGAAAUGCGUUGAUAUCGAGAGGAACGCCAGAAGCGAAAGCGGGGCACUGGGCCGAUUCUGACGCUGAGACGCGAAAGCGUGGGGAGCAAACAGGAUUAGAUACCCUGGUAGUCCACGCCGUAAACGAUGCACACUAGACGUUGGAGCCUCUGACGGUGCCCGGCGUCGUAGCA
rnacentral:rRNA from 1 species